rnacentral:rRNA from 1 species
UACGUAGGGGGCAAGCGUUGUCCGGAAUCAUUGGGCGUAAAGAGCGCGUAGGCGGUCCGGUAAGUCCGCUCUGAAAGUCCGGGGCUCAACCCCGGGAGGCGGGCGGAUACUGUCGGGCUAGAGUCCGGAAGAGGCGAGUGGAAUUCCUGGUGUAGCGGUGAAAUGCGCAGAUAUCGGGAGGAACACCAGUAGCGAAGGCGGCUCGCUGGGCCAUUCCUGACGCUGAGACGCGAAAGCUAGGGAGCGAACAGG